AGCUCUGGCUGUUUUGAAAUUCACUGUGUAGACCAGACUAGCCUCAAACUCAGAGCUCUUACUGCCUCUGCCUCCAGGGUGCUGCAGUCAAAGGUGUGCACCACUGCAUCCCGCUGAGGACUCAGUUUCUUGCAUGACCAAACUCAAGGCUGGAGUUAGCAUUUCUUUUUAUAUUUCAGUGAAAUCUUAUAAAGAUCAUAUCUUAAUUAGAGCAAGCUGAUCUCAUCUAAUAGUAAAUCUUGGGCCAGCAAAAUGGCUCAGUGUCCCUGCAACCAAAUCUAACAAUCGGAGUUUGUUUUCUGGGACUCGCUUGGUGGAAGGAGAAAACCAACCCCCCAGACUGUCCUGUAACCUCUGUGCGUGCACUGUAACAUGGCUACACGCACACUAAAUGAGUGUAAAACUUUGUAAGUUAAACUUUGCAGAGGCGUGUGUAUGUUUGAGUUGAGGACAAUGGCGACAUCACUGGAACAUGAAGAAGGCUGACUUGUGUGAGCAUGUCUGUAAUCCCAGCACUUGGAAAGCUUUGGCAGUAGGGUCAUGAAUUUGAAGCCAGCCCAGGCUAAAAUAAAUAAAAGAGUAAAACAUGAAGUCUUACAGCAUUGGUUUGUGUGGCGCCCACUAGAGUGAACUAAACAAUGCUCUCCGCUCGGGGCUUGCAGUGGUCCCCACAGCAGUGAGCUGGCCUAGCAUGCAGGAGGCUGAUAGGUCUGUUACGAGCAGCCCAAGAACGAAAAUGCAGAACUUGGGAAACAGGUCACACCAUGCUCUCCACCAGUGCCUUCUAAGUUUGAGACAUCACCGAGGGUGCUCCAAAUCCCUUAGCCUAUGUUGUGGGAAAUGAAAACAAGUGUAUAGUUGACAUGGGGGUAGCCGGGUCAAUGAUCCCAGUGUCUCAGCCCCAUGAAAGCCCCAAAGUCCCCUGAGGACGCUCCAGUGGAGAUUAGACAAACCUGUCUCCUUGUUUAGCUGUAUAAUAAACUCACUUUGCUUCCUGGGUGCUGUGGGUCUCCAUCAGAGAUCCCAGUCCAUCUGAUCCC
rnacentral:lncRNA from 1 species